rnacentral:rRNA from 1 species
AGGGGGCAGCUAUCAUGCAGUCGAGCGAAUGGAUUAAGAGCUUGCUCUUAUGAAGUUAGCGGCGGACGGGUGAUUAACACGUGGGUAACCUGCCCAUAAGACUGGGAUAACUCCGGGAAACCGGGGCUAAUACCGGAUAACAUUUUGAACUGCAUGGUUCUAAAUUGAAAGGCGGCUUCGGCUGUCACUUAUGGAUGGACCCGCGUCGCAUUAUCUAGUUGGUGAGGUAACGGCUCACCAAGGCGACGAUGCAUAACCAACCUGAGAGGGUGAUCGGCCACACUGGGACUGAGACACGGCCCAGACUCCUACGGGAGGCAGCAAUAGGGAAUCUUCCGCAAUGGACGAAAGUCUGACGGAGCAACGCCGCGUGAGUGAUGAAGGCUUUCGGGUCGUAAAACUCUGUUGUUAGGGAAGAACAAGUGCUAGUUGAAUAAGCUGGCACCUUGACGGUACCUAACCAGAAAGCCACGGCUAACUACGUGCCAGCAGCCGCGGUAAUACGUAUGUGGCAAGCGUUAUCCGGAAUUAUUGGGCGUAAAGCGCGCGCAGGUGGUUUCUUAAGUCUGAUGUGAAAGCCCACGGCUCAACCGUGGAGGGUCAUUGGAAACUGGGAGACUUGAGUGCAGAUGAGGAUAGUGGAAUUCCAUGUGUAGCGGUGAAAUGCGUAGAGAUAUGGAGGAACACCAGUGGCGAAGGCGACUUUCUGGUCUGUAACUGACACUGAGGCGCGAAAGCGUGGGGAGCAAACAGGAUUACAUACCCUGGUAGUCCACGCCGUAAACGAUGAGUGCUAAGUGUUAGAGGGUUUCCGCCCUUUAGUGCUGAAGUUAACGCAUUAAGCACUCCGCCUGGGGAGUACGGCCGCAAGGCUGAAACUCAAAGGAAUUGACGGGGGCCCGCACAAGCGGUGUAGCAUGUGCUUUAAUUCGAAGCAACGCGAAGAACCUUUACCAAGUCUUGACAUCCUCUGAAAACCCUAGAGAUAGGGCUUCUACUCGGGAGCAGAGUGACAAGGUGCUGCAUGGUUGUCGUCAGCUCGUGUCAUGAACAUGGUAGGAUAAGUACCCCGCUAACGAGUCGCAUACCCUGAUCUAGUGCCAUCCAUCUAAAGUUGGGCACUCGUAAGAUGACCUGGCGGUGACAAAGCCGUAAGAAGGUGGGGAUGACGUCCAAUUCAUCGACUGUGGC